rnacentral:rRNA from 1 species
ACGCUGGCGGCAUGCUUUACACAUGCAAGUCGGACGGCAGCACAGAGAAGCUUGCUUCUUGGGUGGCGAGUGGCGAACGGGUGAGUAACAUAUCGGAACGUACCGAGCAGUGGGGGAUAACUAAUCGAAAGAUUAGCUAAUACCGCAUAUUUUCUGAGGAAGAAAGCAGGGGACCAUUUGGCCUUGCGCUGUUUGAGCGGCCGAUAUCUGAUUAGCUAGUUGGUGGGGUAAAGGCCUACCAAGGCGACGAUCAGUAGCGGGUCUGAGAGGAUGAUCCGCCACACUGGGACUGAGACACGGCCCAGACUCCUACGGGAGGCAGCAGUGGGGAAUUUUGGACAAUGGGCGCAAGCCUGAUCCAGCCAUGCCGCGUGUCUGAAGAAGGCCUUCGGGUUGUAAAGGACUUUUGUCAGGGAAGAAAAGGGCGGGGUUAAUACCCCUGUCUGAUGACGGUACCUGAAGAAUAAGCACCGGCUAACUACGUGCCAGCAGCCGCGGUAAUACGUAGGGUGCGAGCGUUAAUCGGAAUUACUGGGCGUAAAGCGGGCGCAGACGGUUACUUAAGCAGGAUGUGAAAUCCCCGGGCUCAACCUGGGAACUGCGUUCUGAACUGGGUGACUAGAGUGUGUCAGAGGGAGGUAGAAUUCCACGUGUAGCAGUGAAAUGCGUAGAGAUGUGGAGGAAUACCGAUGGCGAAGGCAGCCUCCUGGGAUAACACUGACGUUCAUGCCCGAAAGCGUGGGUAGCAAACAGGAUUAGAUACCCUGGUAGUCCACGCCCUAAACGAUGUCAAUUAGCUGUUGGGCAGCAUGACUGCUUAGUAGCGAAGCUAACGCGUGAAAUCGACCGCCUGGGGAGUACGGUCGCAAGAUUAAAACUCAAAGGAAUUGACGGGGACCCGCACAAGC